UACGUAGGUCCCGAGCGUUAUCCGGAUUUAUUGGGCGUAAAGCGAGCGCAGGUGGUUUAUUAAGUCUGGUGUAAAAGGCAGUGGCUCAACCAUUGUAUGCAUUGGAAACUGGUAGACUUGAGUGCAGGAGAGGAGAGUGGAAUUCCAUGUGUAGCGGUGAAAUGCGUAGAUAUAUGGAGGAACACCGGUGGCGAAAGCGGCUCUCUGGCCUGUAACUGACACUGAGGCUCGAAAGCGUGAGGAGCAAACAGG
rnacentral:rRNA from 1 species